GUAGUAUUGUUGUCGCCGCCAUGUCGUAUAGACGCUGUGUGUUUCACUGUGAAAGCGAAACUACUUUGUUUGGCCUUCCAAAAGAGGACGAUAUCCCCUUCGUCAUGCCUGGAGCUGAUCCGUGUUGGUCGCUGAGGAAAUACAUCAACUUCGCACUGUGGAUUGCUGAAUCGGCUUUCACCGUGGACGAAGCAGAGUCCAGCCCGGGGUCGUCACGUGGUUGCUGCAAGCUCCUUCGUCGAAUUCGCCGGCCACGCCGUUCUCAAGCCAUACGCCUCUGCGUCACUCAAGCCGGCCGCGGCUCACUCUAGGCCUCCGGUCUUGGCUCACUCAAGGCCACGGAAGAAGCAUCGAAAAGACGAUAAUUUGUAUUGUUUGCCAACCGCUAAAAAAAGAAGCUGUUGUUUGCCGUGUCGCAUUCUACACAUUUUCAGUCCAAGCCUGAUGCAGGGCAGUUCCUCCCGGGUUAAGGGGUCCCUGCUGCAGUUUCACCAGUAAAGAAAAUUACUUGUUACAGUUCACUUGGAAGACCACAUAAGCCAUGCAGUGGUGCAUGGAGGAGCACCAAGAGGACAUAAAGUGGAAGUUUGUAAGGGACAUUGGUCCAGCGUGGUACAGAGUC
ensembl:lncRNA